UACGUAGGGUGCAAGCGUUAAUCGGAAUUACUGGGCGUAAAGCGUACGCAGGCGGCUUUGCAAGACAGGUGUGAAAUCCCCGGGCCUAACCUGGGAACUGCAUUUGUGACUGCAUAGCUAGAGUUUGUCGGAGGGGGGUGGAAUUCCACGUGUAGCGGUGAAAUGCGUAGAUAUGUGGAGGAACACCGAUGGCGAAGGCAGCCCCCUGGGAUGUGACUGACGCUCAUGUACGAAAGCGUGGGGAGCAAACAGG
rnacentral:rRNA from 1 species